rnacentral:rRNA from 1 species
GAGUUUGAUCCUGGCUCAGGAUGAACGCUAGCUACAGGCUUAACACAUGCAAGUCGAGGGGCAGCAUGAACUUAGCUUGCUAAGUUUGAUGGCGACCGGCGCACGGGUGAGUAACACGUAUCCAACCUGCCGAUGACUCGGGGAUAGCCUUUCGAAAGAAAGAUUAAUACCCGAUGGCAUAGUUCUUCCGCAUGGUAGAACUAUUAAAGAACUUCGGUCAUCGAUGGGGAUGCGUUCCAUUAGGUUGUUGGCGGGGUAACGGCCCACCAAGCCUUCGAUGGAUAGGGGUUCUGAGAGGAAGGCCCCCCACAUUGGAACUGAGACACGGUCCAAACUCCUACGGGAGGCAGCAGUGAGGAAUAUUGGUCAAUGGACGAGAGUCUGAACCAGCCAAGUAGCGUGAAGGAUGACUGCCCUAUGGGUUGUAAACUUCUUUUAUACGGGAAUAAAGUGAGGCACGUGUGCCUUUUUGUAUGUACCGUAUGAAUAAGGAUCGGCUAACUCCGUGCCAG